CCUACGGGUGGCAGCAGUGAGGAAUAUUGGUCAAUGGACGGAAGUCUGAACCAGCCAUGCCGCGUGAAGUAAGACGGCUCUAUGAGUUGUAAACUGCUUUUGUACAAGGGUAAACCUGAAUACGUGUAUUCAGCUGAAAGUACUGUACGAAUAAGGAUCGGCUAACUCCGUGCCAGCAGCCGCGGUAAUACGGAGGAUCCAAGCGUUAUCCGGAUUUAUUGGGUUUAAAGGGUGCGUAGGCGGAUUGAUAAGUUAGAGGUGAAAUGUCCGAGCUUAACUCGGGAACUGCCUCUAAUACUGUUGGUCUAGAGAGUAGAUGCGGUAGGCGGAAUGUAUGGUGUAGCGGUGAAAUGCUUAGAGAUCAUACAGAACACCGAUUGCGAAGGCAGCUUACCAAUCUAUAUCUGACGUUGAGGCACGAAAGCGUGGGGAGCAAACAGGAUUAGAUACCCCUGUAGUC
rnacentral:rRNA from 1 species